UACGUAGGGUGCGAGCGUUGUCCGGAAUUAUUGGGCGUAAAGAGCUUGUAGGCGGUUUGUCGCGUCUGCCGUGAAAAUCCGGGGCUCAACCCCGGACUUGCGGUGGGUACGGGCAGACUAGAGUGUGGUAGGGGAGACUGGAAUUCCUGGUGUAGCGGUGAAAUGCGCAGAUAUCAGGAGGAACACCUGAGGCGAAGGCGGGCUACUGGGCCGAUACUGACGCUGAUGUGCGAAAGCCAGGGGAGCGAACGGG
rnacentral:rRNA from 1 species